rnacentral:lncRNA from 1 species
GCCUCCUCCGCACCUGACGACCGAACGAACGACGACGCGCGGGAGAGAACGAAGGAAGGAGACCGGCGCGGUCGCGGAGGAGCGAGCGAGGGAACGCGCGAGCGAGCGUCGUGAACCGCUAUUACUAUCCUCGCCACGACACGGUCUCACUGCUAAAGCUAAAACUCGAACACGCACCCGCGGCCCCGCCGCUCGCGUCGUGCACCCGCCCCCCUAUCGUCUCCACCUCCUCCUCUUCCUCCUCCUCCUACCCCCCGCCGCCGCUCCCCCGCGUCGUCGUCGUCGGCAACAUCAUCGCCUCCGCGAUCCGCUCCCGAAACUCCGGCACGAGGCGCUUAGUCAUGGCGUCGAACAGCGCUCCCCCCGCCUCGGCGUUCAGCCCCUCGGCCUUCGCGAGCACGGCGCCCGCGGCUUCGAGAAGCGCUCUCCGCGCCUUCGCCCGCACCUUGGUCGCGUCGCCCUCCGCGCUCCACACGACCAGCGCGAGCUUUUCCG